UACGUAGGCAGCAAGCGUUGUCCGGAUUUAUUGGGCGUAAAGAGCGUGUAGGCGGUUUGGUAGGUCCGCUGUGAAAACUCGAGGCUCAACCUCGAGACGCCGGUGGAAACCAUCAGACUAGAGUCCGGAAGAGGAGAGUGGAAUUCCUGGUGUAGCGGUGAAAUGCGCAGAUAUCAGGAAGAACACCCGUGGCUAAGGCGGCUCUCUAGUACGGUACUGACGCUGAGACGCGAAAGCGUGGGGAGCGAACAGG
rnacentral:rRNA from 1 species